CUGUAAUGAGGAUUCCUCAAGUGAAGACAGUGUAGUGCAAGUAAAAUUUACCUCUCACAGUCAACAUGAUGAGAAUGACACUUUGGUGGGUCAUUUAUUUGCAUAUCUCCUAACAUAAAUAUAACAUUUAAUUGUAGCUCAUUUUGACUCCUGCUUUCUGUUCUCUACACAGAUAUGGGAUAGUGCGGAUGAAGCAGGAAGCAGCUCACACCAGUAUUACCUUAGUAAAGUUAAGAGGACAUUUUCUGAAGUGCAAGUGUUGCACAAAAUAAUCUUUGGUUGUUCUUUUUUUAGACCACCUGAUCACUCUUUGCCUGUUCAGGAACAAGAAGCAGGAAAAAUCAGAACCAACAUACAAGAACAUGUACGUGACCAACAAAAAUGCUACACUAAUUACACACGUCUGUAUGCACCAAUAGUGAUUGAAAGUGAUUCAGAAGGGUCAGACCAGAGUACACAACAUGUUGAAGAGGAAUGGAUGUAAUUUAUUAAUUAUGUUGUUUCUAAAUUAUUCACUCCAUUUUUAUAGCAUCAUGAUUGAUUGGCUUAAUCGAAAUCUGUGUUUUACAGCUCAGAUGCAAUCUCUGCUGCAGACAUUGUGUCAGAUCUCUCACAGAAGAUCAUAAGGACGUCUUGCAGUAGAUUCAACAUAAAUCGAGCAAAUAUUUGGGAUGGAGCAGUUCGUGGUUUUAAACGUGCAUCAUAUGAUCCAUUGCAUGACAUGCUUGUCAAAUUCACAGGUGAUGAAGGCUCAACUGAAGAUGCAGUUGACACAGGUGGUCCAAAACGUGAGUUUCUAACCCUCCUAAUAGACUGUUUAAAAGCACGGCGAAUUUUUGAUGGACCAGAAAACGGGAGAUUUCUCACCUUUAAUAAUGCAGGUAAAUUAUUUACUUCAAGCUUGUAACUGCUUAAUAAUUUACAUUACUGUCUUUUUUCACUUAGUCUAGAAAAAAUAUAUUUUCCUGUAGCUUUCAGAGAAGAUGAGUACUUCCUUGCUGGCCGGAUGAUUGCAGUCUCUAUUGUACAUGGUGGUCCAGGUCCUCGCUUUUUAUCGAACAUGCUGUAUGAUUACCUCAUUGGUAGGACUGACAUUAAUGGAACAGUUGAGGAUGUAACAGAUGAAACCAUGAAGGCAGCUUUAAUUGAGAUAUCAAGUGCAGAAUCACUAGAUGAAUUGCACGCACUGAUUGAGAAGUAUGAAAGCUUGCUGCAGACUGCUGGGUGUUUUGAUUUCCCACAAAGUGUAAAAGGCAAAGACAACAUUGUGAAGGAUUUCAUACUGUGGUACAUUAUAUACAGAAACCAAUACUCUGUACAAAGGUAAGUCUUGUUCCUAAUUUGAGAUAAUAUAAUAAUUAUGAGUGAAGUGAUAUCACUUUGUGAUUUCUAUUUGGGUUAUAGAUUUAGGGAUGGGCUUUCCACCCUGGAUGUCAUUAAUGCCCUGGAACAACACCCUAUUGCAUUCAGACCCUAUAUGUGCUACAGUGUUGACAGUCUAACAUCUGUAUCUCUGGAGGAUGUCUUCAAGCCACAGCUCAGUGAACCUGGUAGCACCAGACGACAAGAAGAAACAAGAAUACUGGGAUACUGGAGAGACUAUCUGCUUGACACUGGAGAUAAAGGAUUGAACAUUAUAUUUUAUUGUUGUUGAUAACAAAUUUUGUGAUAUUUUUUUGUUUUUUGUUUAAUCUUUUCAGAACAAGAAACAGGAGUCUCCCUCCAGAACAUUUUGAUGUUUGCCACGGGAUUAGAUUCACUGCCUCCUUCAACAAUUGUGCCACAGCCCAGACUCAUUUUUGAAAGGUCUUCUAAAUUUCCCAUUGCAAGCACCUGUGCCAACACAAUCAAAUUGCCAGUGUCAAAAAGCUAUGAUGAGUUCAAAAAUGCAAUGGAUUUUGGAAUUCAAAACUCACCUGGUUUCAGAUUGCGCUGAUUAGUAUUAAUGUACGGAAAGCCAGUUUUUGCCACUGAACAAAUUUUUUUUUUUUUUUAAAGGUUAUUGCAAGUUUUCAUCUCAGAAUUGCAUGAAACAAACACAAUUUUAUUUCUGACUUUAUAACUUCUGAGGAAAACUUCAGAAUUCUAAGAUUUUUGUUAAGAAAGCUUUAGGGUGGCAGGAUCAAUGAUGAUAAUUAUUUUAUUUAUAGUCUGUAAGACUUAUUUGAGUUCAUAUAUAGGUUAUUCACUAAAAUAUAUAAUUAAAAUUGUUUGUGGAGCUGAA